rnacentral:rRNA from 1 species
AUUGUGUGUGAAAGUUUCUAAGGGCGCAUGGUGGAUGCCUUGGCAACAGGAGCCGAAGAAGGACGUGGGAAUCUGCGAUAAGCCUGGUGGAGUCGAUAACCGGACGUUGAGACCAGGAUUUCCGAAUGGGGAAACCCCGCAC